GCCGCCAUGGCGAAAGGGCUCCCGCCGUCUCUAAGCAGCGGCACCGCCCUCUGACCUCAGCUGCUACUUCCACUUCCGGGCCAAGGCGAGCCUUGGGCGGGGCUGGCGGCCGGGGAGGGGAGCCGGAAGGGGUCGCGGCCAUCUUAGGAGGCGGGCUCGCGUCCGGGAAGCCGGGCUGGGGCCGUCCCGGCACCCGGGCGGAGCGGGCGCCCUCAGCCCGUCUCGGUGCCGCUCUCCACCGUCAGGGGCUCCCAUUGCUCCCCAAGUGCAGACUCAAGUGCUAAACCAAGCCUUAUUCCACAUGGUGUAAGCCACGGGCAGUUUUCCCACCACCUGUUAUCCCGAGCGGACCCAGUUUGAUGAAUGGAGUGCCCCCACUUCCUCCAGCCCUUUGCCUUUCCAGCUCUUUGUCCCCCUCCAGUCUGUUUUCCCUUCUCACCUGGACCUCAGGCCUUCCCCUCAGGCAUCACAUGGAGAACAGAAGUCUAAGCUCAAGAGUGAGGUCCCCAACUCCUUCCACAAACCCCAGCUUUCAUAAAUCAAAACCAAAUUUCAAAGUCCGAAUACAAGAAAAACAUUAAAAACCAGAAGUCACUCA